rnacentral:lncRNA from 1 species
UGAAAUGUCUAAAAAGACAAGUAUUUAGGAACGGAGGGAGUAGGAGAUAAACAGUUCCUCGUCACAGAACAUAACUGGUUUCAGCAUCAAGCAUCAAAAGGCCUCAAUUUUUCAGAUUACAAUUUUGCAUACCCCAUGGAAAACCCACAAAUUCUGCUGUACAAGAAAAAUAGAUCUCUUUCUACAGGAGACCAAGUUGAUAAAACACUUACCAAAGCAGGAGAAGGUGAAGUUGGUGUCGACGCGCGGGAGCACCUGCAAUCGGAACAAAAAGGGGUAUGUUUAAGGAGCUGUUCGGGAAACCUCCAGCUCCACCAAAUCCAAGGAUCCGAGGAGCACCUGUUUCCCCGAUCUAUAAAUCUGAACUGCAGCUCCGGCUGCUCCGGGAGCAGAGUCACGGAGCGGGAGGGAAUCCGAACAGGCCCUAAAUCUGGGUCAAAUUAUUAUAGUAAAACUAUUGACUAAUCUAGGUUGACAAACUGAAAGUAAUCUCGAAAUCAGACCCAUCAAUGAAUAGUUAUAGUUCUCUGAUGUAUUUGGCUGAAAAAGUUAAAAGAAACUGAAUUAGGUAAAUAGUACAUCAUACUGUUCAUAAGUCCAUAUCUGUAUUUUCCUUAUGCUAGACCGGCAACAACUUUCAGAUGCAAACACCCUCUCUGGAAAUCAGCAUUUAACCGAAGUAAAACCGGAUGUAGUGCUCGAUGACAUCAAUAUGUGAACUGUAAUGUCAAAAAGAUCAAAGUGAGGUCUUAUGAGAUUUUUACAUUAGGUUCCACCAAACGGAAAGAAAACAGGAUGUAAACCAAAUUUAGCAUAAGUGCAAGAAAUAUGUGCUAGUGAAUUUUAUCGGGACUGAGUGCACGAUUGGGAAAUACAGCAACAAAAAUCUCCACUCUGUUAUCUAACUACACAAAAUUUUGACUACCUUUAAAAUUUACAUAUAACUAUGCAAAAAAUUGAAUUAUGCUUACCUUUCAAAUAGAUAAUAUAUAUUGCCGUGGAAAAAUAAAGUUGAUAAACACAAUCAGCUUGGUUUCUCCUCGUACACAUUAACACAAACAACUUAUGUGCGGUGAAAGGGGAAGUUCAUCUUUUCUGUACAGCCGCACUUCAAAUAUGGGGGUUUGACCCACAUGAACCAAAGUAGAGAGAGAGAGAGAGAGAGAGAGAGAGAGAGAGAGGCGGCGACGAACGGUGGGCGCAGAGCAUCGAGGGGUGGACCGGUGGAGGCAGCAACGGCCUCGCCGUUUCUCUCAGUCUCUCUCCCGUCGCCUCUCUGACUCUAUGGAAGAAGGGAGGAGCGGGCGCCGUUUCUCUCAGUCUCUCUCCCGUCGCCUCUCUGACUCUACGGAAGAAGGGAGGAGCGGGCGAGGAGCGUCCGCACGCAAGUUGAUUUCCGUACGUUUCUUCUUUCCUAUAGGUAUAGAAAUUUUCGGCG